UUAACAAAAACAUGUCCUUUUGAGCAUUAUUUAAGGUCUGAUCUGCCCUAUGAUUAAUUUAAAUGGCCGCGAUAUUUUGAUCGUGCGAAGGUAGCAUAAUCAUUAGUUUUUUAAUUGAAAGCUGGUAUGAAGGAUUGGACGAGAUACAAGCUGUCUCAGGUUUAAAGGUUGAAAUUUAUUUUUAAGUUAAAAAGCUUAAUUAGUUUUGUAAGACGAGAAGACCCUAUAGAGUUUAAUAUUUCGUUAUUAUGGAUGAUUGUUGUGUUGAGAAUUUUUAUAAUGUUAGAAUUAUUUAGUUGGGGUGACGGGAAAAUUUAAUAAACUUUUUCUUUUAAAAAUAUUAAUUUAUAGAUUAUUGACUUAAAUUAUUAGUUAUAAGAUUAAAUUACCUUAGGGAUAACAGCGUAAUUUUUCUAAAGAGUUCAUAUCGAAAGAAAAGAUUGCGACCUCGAUGUUGGAUUAAAGUUAAAAUUUGGCGUAGAAGCUGCAUGUUUUAGUCUGUUCGACUAUUAAAACUUUACAUGAUCUGAGUU
rnacentral:rRNA from 1 species